rnacentral:tRNA from 1 species
GAGUGGCUUAGCAGUGGAGCAUCUGCUUGGCAUGCAGAAAGUCAUGGGUUCAAUCCCACGUAGGUCCA